UGAGAAUUCCACCAAGGUGCAAGCUCACUG
rnacentral:piRNA from 1 species